CCUAUCUGGUUGAUCCUGCCAGUAGUCAUAUGCUUGUCUCAAAGAUUAAGCCAUGCAUGUCUAAGUCCAAGCUGUGUUCACACGGCGAGACCGCGGACGGCUCAUUAAAUCAGUCGUGGUCCAAAUGGGCCAGUGCAAAUCCUACUUGGAUAACUGUGGUAAUUCCAGAGCUAAUACACGCAACUGAUAUCCCGAAGGCGGUGUUUUGUUCUUGCUUGCCUUGCGCUGGCACUGCUCUGACGGAUGCUUUUAUUAGACCAAGCCGCUGAGGACUUGAGGGUUCGCGCUCUCUUGUUUGACUCGUGUGAUGGUGACUCUGGAUAACCAAAUUCUGACAAGCGCACGUACUUCUCUUCUGAGCGAGACGGCGCUGCCACUUUCGAGUGUCUGCCUUAUCAGCUAUCAACCGUUCGUUAUGCGCGACCGAUGGCUUUGACGGGUAACGGGGAAUCAGGGUUCGAUUCCGGAGAGGCAGCCUGAGAGACGGCUACCACGUCCAAGGACGGCAGCAGGCACGCAAAUUACCCAAUCCCAGCAAAUGGGGGAGGUAGUGACGAAAUCUAACGAUGCGGGCGCCCUUUCUGGGGCCCCGCAAUCGGAAUGGGCACUUUCUAAACAACCUGUUGAGAACCUACUGAAGGGCAAGUCUGGUGCCAGCAGCCGCGGUAAUUCCAGCUUCAGCAGCAUCUAUUAAAGUUGCUGCGGUUAAAAGGCUCGCAGUUGAAUGUCUGUAUCGAGCGCAGGUCAGGUGGACGUUGGGGCGUGGAAGUACGGGCAGUUGGAUGUCCGGGGGGCCUCGUGCUCAACGGCUCCUUCGGCUUUUCCACACACCCCCGUCCCUUACAAGCCUCCUCGCUCGGGUACAUAACGGGAAUCGGUCAAACGGAGUGUGGUCUUGGGAGUUGGGGCGUGCGUGGCUUCGCGGUUGCGUGCGUUCUUUCUUUCGGGGCUGCGUCAAGCUCCAUCGGUUUCACGGUCACCUUGAGUAAAUCAGAGUGCUCAAAGCAGUCGUAGGGGCCUUGCGCCCUGUGAACAGUCUUGACGGACUGACUUGGUUUUGCAUGGCAUGUCGGAAGACGACGUCGUGUGCUGGCUCAGAGGAUAAAUCAGUGGUACAAGCCAGCCUCGACGUAAUGAUUAAAAGGGACGGUCGAGGGCAUUGGUAUUGCGAGGCGAGAGGUGAAAUUCUGUGACCCCCGCAAGACCUCCUGAAGCGAAAGCGUCUGCCAAGGACGUUUUCAUUAAUCAUGAAACGAAAGUUAGAGGAUCGAAGGCGAUCAGAUACCGCCCUAGUUCUAACCCUAAACGAUGCCAACCAUCAAUCCGCGCGUAGCACCCUUCUUAACGGGCUCGGCGGGCAGCUCCCCACUCACGGGAAACCAGAGCCUCUGGGUUCCGGGGGGAGUCUGGUUGCAAAGCUGAAACUUAAAGGAAUUGACGGAAAGGCACCACCAGGCGUGGACGCUGCGGCUUAAUUUGACUCAACACGGGCCAUCUCACCAGGCCAGCACUCUUGUACGAUUGACAGAUUGAGAGCUCUUUCUCGAUUCAGUGGAUGGUGGUGCAUGGCCGUUCUUAGUUGGUGGAGUGAUCUGUCUGGUUAAUUCCGAUAACGAACGAGACUCUCCCCUGCUAACUAGUCGGUUGGAUCUUGAUCAGUGGGUUGAGUGCCGAGUAACUCUCGCUGUGCGUGGUGUGCGUCUCGUUCCUCACGGUUCGUUGCGUGCUCAUGGUGUGGCGUUGGAUGCCUUGGAUCACACUGCACCCCAAGUCCGCCGCUUUGCUAUAACUCUUCUUAGAGGGAUUCACGGCACUGAAGCCGUAAGAGACUGAGAGCAAUAACAGGUCUGUGAUGCCCUUAGAUGCUCUGGGCCGCACGCGCGCUACAAUGCCGGGCACAGCAGGUGUUUCUCCUGCUCCGACAGGAGCGGGUAACCCUCUGAAAGCCAGUGUUCUUGCAAGUGCUUCCUCCCUCGUGGAGUUGCACAGAGGCGUGCUUGGGCCUGGGACUUGCAAUUCUUUCCCACCAACGAGGAAUGCCUAGUAGCGGCGGGUCACUGAGCCCGCUGUGACUCAGUCCCUGCCCUUUGUACACACCGCCCGUCGCUACUACCGAUUGGGUGUACCAGUGAGAGCCUUGGACUGGCGUCCGUUGUUGCUCGCAAGAGUGACAAGCGGGUCCGACGGAAAGAGGUCCGAACUGGUGCACUUAGAGGAAGUAAAAGUCGUAACAAGGUUUCCGUAGUGAACCUGCGGAAGGAUCAUUA
rnacentral:rRNA from 1 species